CCUACGGGAGGCAGCAGUGGGGAAUCUUAGACAAUGGGCGCAAGCCUGAUCUAGCCAUGCCGCGUGAGUGAUGAAGGCCUUAGGGUCGUAAAGCUCUUUCGCCAGGGAUGAUAAUGACAGUACCUGGUAAAGAAACCCCGGCUAACUCCGUGCCAGCAGCCGCGGUAAUA
rnacentral:rRNA from 1 species